rnacentral:rRNA from 1 species
UACGUAGGUGGCGAGCGUUGUCCGGAAUUACUGGGUGUAAAGCGCGCGUAGGCGGUAGGCCAAGUCUGCUGUGAAAUCGCCCGGCUCAACUGGGCGCGGUCGGUGGAAACUGGUCAACUGGAGGACGGUAGAGGCGAGUGGAAUUCCCGGUGUAGUGGUGAAAUGCGUAGAGAUCGGGAGGAACACCAGUGGCGAAGGCGGCUCGCUGGGCCGGACCUGACGCUGAGGCGCGAAAGCGUGGGGAGCGAACAGG